rnacentral:rRNA from 1 species
AUUGAACGCUGGAGGCAGGCCUAACACAUGCAAGUCGAGCGAGCGGAGGACGGGUGAGGAAUGUAUGGGAAACUGCCUGAUGGAGGGGGAUAACUACUGGAAACGGAAGCUAAUACAGAAAAACAUCAGAUGUGCCCAGAUGGGAUUAGCUGGUAGGUGGGGUAACGGCUCACCUAGGCGACGAUCCCUAGCUGGAUUGAGAGGAGGACCAGCCACACUGGAACUGAGACACGGUCCAGACUCCUACGGGAGGCAGCAGUGGGGAAUAUUGCACAAUGGGCGCAAGCCUGAUGCAGCCAUGCCGCGUGUGUGAAGAAGGCCUUCGGGUUGUAAAGCACUUUCAGCGGGGAGGCGUUACCCGCAGAAGAAGCACCGGCUAACUCCGUGCCAGCAGCCGCGGUAAUUC